UACGAAGGGGGCUAGCGUUGUUCGGAAUUACUGGGCGUAAAGCGCGCGCAGGCGGUUCUUCAAGUCAGUGGUGAAAGCCCGGAGCUCAACUCCGGAACUGCCAUUGAAACUGUAAGACUUGAGGAUGAGAGAGGUGAGUGGAAUUCCCAGUGUAGAGGUGAAAUUCGUAGAUAUUGGGAAGAACACCGGUGGCGAAGGCGGCUCACUGGCUCAUUUCUGACGCUCAGGCGCGACAGCGUGGGGAUCAAACAGG
rnacentral:rRNA from 1 species